CUUUAAUUUUUUGAAUUUAUUGGAUUGCCUUGCGAAAACAUUUGUCAGGGUCUUCGGGCAGUCAAUUAAUAUUACUGAAAAUAAACACAGGAAGCGCUGCGGUAAGGGGCGAACCAAUAAAAACUGCGGAUUAACAAGAAGAGAGAAUAACGGAGACACCGAACUCUGAGAGCGCUGAUUAAAGGCAAACAACACUAGAUUAUAAGACAAAUAAAAUGAAGGGAAAUUGUUACGAACUGCUUAUUUUUCGGUGGCAGUGCUGCUAGCUCAGUCUUAUCUAAAGGCAGAGUACCCCAAAUACCACAGCUUGCAACAUAAGUAUCGACAACUCCGCUGUCUCACAUCACUAAACUAUCGGUCAUCUCAAAAAACAAAAAUGUAAACAAAGGUAAAUACCUACAAAUAUUGACUUAAAAAUGGGUUAAAUUUUGUGGCUAUUGAUGACUAAGCCAAGCGCUCCCACCCAACCAUGGAUGCUCUUAAGAUGCGGAAGGGCACCACCCAUUCUCGGUCGGUUGCCCCCUUCUCGCGAUUACGACUGUUCCAUCUCCCCCACUGGGUAAACUCACUCACAUUGUGGGUUUUACAAAUGUUUAAUGAAUAUGCCUUUAAGACCGAAACUUGGCCGACGUCUUCAAUAUUUACGCGGUCAAAGCAGAGGAUUUGAAAAAGGCGCCGCGAAAAGUUAUGCUCUACCAUUCACUUAUUUUUAGAGCUCGCAUGGAAACACGGCCCUCAAAAGGAACACACGCUAUGCGCGAGUUAUGGUAUCUUCCGCUGUUCGGUAGUGGUCCAAGGGGGUUCCAGUUAUCCGUCAGUAAGUCCUCAGAAUUGAUACUUUGAAUCUCAAGAUUGAUAUUUGUUGAAAUUAAAUACGAUUUGAAUAGAGUAAAAACGUUUAAGUGAAUUUCUAGACUUAUUCAUAUAUUGUUCAGCAGUGGCCGAGAAGCCGCCGCUGCCGAAAAUGCACAUAAAAUCUUAUAUACUAUACAUAAGGGCUUAUACAGUAAUACAAGAUGAAAUAAAGAAUAAUUAGCCAGCAA